rnacentral:rRNA from 1 species
AUUGAACGCUGGCGGCAGGCCUAACACAUGCAAGUCGAACGGUAACAGGAAGAAGCUUGCUUCUUUGCUGACGAGUGGCGGACGGGUGAGUAAUGUCUGGGAAACUGCCUGAUGGAGGGGAUAAACAACGGAAAAGGUAGCCAAAAACGGAUAACGGUGCAAGAACAAAGGGGGGGGACUUCGGGCCCCCUGGCCACGGGAGUGGCCAGAUGGGAUUAGCUUGUUGGUGGGGUAACGGCUCACCAAGGCGACGAUCCCUAGCUGGUCUGAGAGGAUGACCAGCCACACUGGAACUGAGACACGGUCCAGACUCCUACGGGAGGCAGCAGUGGGGAAUAUUGCACAAUGGGCGCAAGCCUGAUGCAGCCAUGCCGCGUGUAUGAAGAAGGCCUUCGGGUUGUAAAGUACUUUCAGCGGGGAGGAAGGGAGUAAAGUUAAUACCUUUGCUCAUUGACGUUACCCGCAGAAGAAGCACCGGCUAACUCCGUG